UACGUAGGGUGCGAGCGUUGUCCGGAAUUAUUGGGCGUAAAGAGCUUGUAGGCGGUUUGUCGCGUCUGCUGUGAAAACUCGGGGCUUAACUCCGGGCCUGCAGUGGGUACGGGCAGACUAGAGUGCGGUAGGGGAGACUGGAAUUCCUGGUGUAGCGGUGAAAUGCGCAGAUAAUCAGGAGGAACACCGGUGGCGAAGGCGGGUCUCUGGGCCGUAACUGACGCUGGAGGAGCGAACGCGUGGGGAGCGAACAGG
rnacentral:rRNA from 1 species